rnacentral:rRNA from 1 species
GAUCAUGGCUCAGGAUGAACGCUGGCGGCGUGCCUAACACAUGCAGGUCGAACGGAAUUUACAUGAAGCCUAGCGAUUGUAAAUUUAGUGGCGGACGGGUGAGUAACGCGUGGGUAACCUGCCUUGUACUGGGGGACAACAGUUGGAAACGACUGCUAAUACCGCAUAAGCGCACAGCUUCGCAUGGAGCAGUGUGAAAAACUCCGGUGGUACAAGAUGGACCCGCGUCUGAUUAGCUGG